GGCGCUUCCUCCUCGACUUCUCAACAGUAAUGUAUCGGCCCAGCAGAACAGACUGAUUCAGAUGCUUGAUACAACGUUCAGCAUCAUCAUUGGAGUCCAUGGUCACAAACGCAAACCCUCUGGAGAGGCGUGUGCGAGGUUCAACAACCAGAAGACAAUUAGCCACCUUUCCCUUCUUGGUAAAGUGGUCCUCGAGGUCCCUUUCUGUGACCCUUGUAGAAAGUCCAGUCACAUAAAGAGUAUUUCCAGGAU
rnacentral:misc_RNA from 1 species